rnacentral:rRNA from 1 species
GUCGAGCGAACAGACGAGGAGCUUGCUCCUCUGACGUUAGCGGCGGACGGGUGAGUAACACGUGGAUAACCUACCUAUAAGACUGGGAUAACUUCGGGAAACCGGAGCUAAUACCGGAUAAUAUAUUGAACCGCAUGGUUCAAUAGUGAAAGACGGUUUUGCUGUCACUUAUAGAUGGAUCCGCGCCGCAUUAGCUAGUUGGUAAGGUAACGGCUUACCAAGGCAACGAUGCGUAGCCGACCUGAGAGGGUGAUCGGCCACACUGGAACUGAGACACGGUCCAGACUCCUACGGGAGGCAGCAGUAGGGAAUCUUCCGCAAUGGGCGAAAGCCUGACGGAGCAACGCCGCGUGAGUGAUGAAGGUCUUCGGAUCGUAAAACUCUGUUAUUAGGGAAGAACAAAUGUGUAAGUAACUAUGCACGUCUUGACGGUACCUAAUCAGAAAGCCACGGCUAACUACGUGCCAGCAGCCGCGGUAAUACGUAGGUGGCAAGCGUUAUCCGGAAUUAUUGGGCGUAAAGCGCGCGUAGGCGGUUUUUUAAGUCUGAUGUGAAAGCCCACGGCUCAACCGUGGAGGGUCAUUGGAAACUGGAAAACUUGAGUGCAGAAGAGGAAAGUGGAAUUCCAUGUGUAGCGGUGAAAUGCGCAGAGAUAUGGAGGAACACCAGUGGCGAAGGCGACUUUCUGGUCUGUAACUGACGCUGAUGUGCGAAAGCGUGGGGAUCAAACAGGAUUAGAUACCCUGGUAGUCCACGCCGUAAACGAUGAGUGCUAAGUGUUAGGGGGUUUCCGCCCCUUAGUGCUGCAGCUAACGCAUUAAGCACUCCGCCUGGGGAGUACGACCGCAAGGUUGAAACUCAAAGGAAUUGACGGGGACCCGCACAAGCGGUGGAGCAUGUGGUUUAAUUCGAAGCAACGCGAAGAACCUUACCAAAUCUUGACAUCCUCUGACCCCUCUAGAGAUAGAGUUUUCCCCUUCGGGGGACAGAGUGACAGGUGGUGCAUGGUUGUCGUCAGCUCGUGUCGUGAGAUGUUGGGUUAAGUCCCGCAACGAGCGCAACCCUUAAGCUUAGUUGCCAUCAUUAAGUUGGGCACUCUAAGUUGACUGCCGGUGACAAACCGGAGGAAGGUGGGGAUGACGUCAAAUCAUCAUGCCCCUUAUGAUUUGGGCUACACACGUGCUACAAUGGACAAUACAAAGGGCAGCGAAACCGCGAGGUCAAGCAAAUCCCAUAAAGUUGUUCUCAGUUCGGAUUGUAGUCUGCAACUCGACUAUAUGAAGCUGGAAUCGCU